rnacentral:rRNA from 1 species
GACGAACGCUGGCGGCGUGCCUAAUACAUGCAAGUAGAACGCUGAAGGAGGAGCUUGCUUCUCUGGAUGAGUUGCGAACGGGUGAGUAACGCGUAGGUAACCUGCCUGGUAGCGGGGGAUAACUAUUGGAAACGAUAGCUAAUACCGCAUAAGAGUAGAUGUUGCAUGACAUUUGCUUAAAAGGUGCAAUUGCAUCACUACCAGAUGGACCUGCGUUGUAUUAGCUAGUUGGUGGGGUAACGGCUCACCAAGGCGACGAUACAUAGCCGACCUGAGAGGGUGAUCGGCCACACUGGGACUGAGACACGGCCCAGACGCCUACGGGAGGCAGCAGUAGGGAAUCGUCGGCAAUGGACGGAAGUCUGACCGAGCAACGCCGCGGGAGUGAAGAAGGUUUUCGGAUCGUAAAGCUCGGUUGUAAGAGAAGAACGAGUGUGAGAGUGGAAAGUUCACACUGUGACGGUAUCUUACCAGAAAGGGACGGCUAACUACGUG